rnacentral:lncRNA from 1 species
AACAAACAAAAAACUAGCCAGCUGGUGGUUACAUUGGGUGUUUGGAAUCCCAGUGUAGUUCCAAGCCUUCGCAGGAUGAGCUUUUAAGCACAAAACCCAUACCCUGGGCUGACAUGUUUCAGUUAGCAAGAAUGGUUAGCCAAAAAACAGAACUACAAAAGCCAAAAAGCAAGGUUAGUACACUUAGAGACUUUCUUAGAACUAAGACUUUGGUUCUUUGCUUUAGUUUUGGCAGGUGGUGCUGUCUACAUGCUGAGUUCUGUGGCCUGAGUGGUACUUCCAUCGUGGACUCAGUUGUGCUAAGGAAGGUCUGCGGGCCUGUUACAAGGUGCCACCUCCAGCUUUCUACUGCCUCCCCAAUAAAGCCAACCAGAUUGUGAAUCCAUCAAUGAAUGGUGCAACCCACUGAUGGUUCUUAACUGGGUUUGGAUGUGC